UGUGCUGCACCGCACGCCGCACAGCGUCGUGAUAUCUGCCGCCCUGAAGUAUUCGCUUCUCCUUUCAGGAAACGGGAGUGCACGGUGCACAAGCCAGCAGCGAGCACCGCCACCACCCAAGCAUCCACGCCGACACAGCGAACCUAAAAGGUCCAACACAGCUGUGCUUGCCUUUGCCGGGGCCGGGCCGGAGGGCGGAGGAGAAGGCCACUGCAUCCGUUGGCCGUCUCUCUCACGCUUCUCGCUUCUUUGCCAAAACAAUCUUUUUCUUGAUUGCUUCGUGACGAGGGCCGCGUCGCGCACCUGUACACGUGCGUGACCGUGCGUCGGGCCAUCCGCAUACCAAACAUCUUCCGCUCCCUCUCUUACCUUCUCGGUCUGCUCGGGUGUGCGGGUGCCUUAUCCACCGCUUUCGGCAAAACGAGAAGCAUAGGCAAUCGUCUGCAGCGGCGCUUCACGAGUGUGUCGCUGUUGUUUGGGAGCCCCCCCCUCUCCGUUCUGCGCUCGCACACCCUCUCUGUCUGUCCCCACCCCCCUCGCCCGACAUCAGCAUCCCUGCCCUUUGCUGAGCUUGCGGCAGUGCUCCCUCCCCUCCCCCGCCCCGCAGGUGCUACUGUCCUCCCUCUCAGCGACGACGGCGUGUUCAUGUCAGCGCGAUCCAAGGACCCGGACGAGCGGCAUCAUGGCAGCCGUGACAGCGUGAAGGCCGCUGCCAUGCGAGAGGCGCUCUGCAGUCGUAUUCGCACCCUUGGCGCGUCCAUCCUCGCCAUCACGCAGUCCGCCAUGAAGGAGGUGGAAGAGCUGGAGAUGGAGCACGCUGAGCAGCAGCAGCGCCUCGCCAAGCGACAGUCGCAGCGCAAAUCGAGCCCGCGUCCCGGCAAAGCAGCGGCGAAGCCAUCGCAACCGCAAAGUCGCGUGCGGCGCACCUGUGGCCAUGAGCCCAGGUGCAGCGCUCCGACAGGUGCCGCAGCAGCCAGCGCCGCAGACAAAAACGAGAAGCGCGCAGAGAGCAGCACUGAGGAGGACAGCAGCAGGUACACUCGUUCGCAUCUGUGGCGGGCCGAUGCUGCUGUCAUGGAGCUCUGCGCCGCGGCGGAGGCGAAUUUCCAGCGUGCACUCGCCAACCGGGUGUCGCAGGGCCAACGGUCUCUACGGCCCGUCGUUACUGGCGAGACCGCGGACGACGCUUGUGCUGUCUGGGGCGACGACGACUGUGAUAAAGGCGGUCAGCCGCGCGUGCCGCGCCACUGGCGCCGCGGUGCCCCGCUGUACGACCUUAGCAACGCCGCCAUCACCUCUCAGUACGGCCGCUGCGUGGACAGGGCCGAAGUUGCGAAAGACGUGCACGACAACGGCGCGCAACCGUCCAACACCUCCUCUGGCGCUAGGCAGAGAGACGAUGGCAGCUUCGUAUCGCCGGCGAUAACGGCCGGUGGGGCGAUACCGCUGGCGGCACGAGCACCCGCGGCCGCGUCACAGCUGUCACAGCAGGCUGAGCAGGAGGCGCUGGCCGCACUCUACAUUGUGCCGGACCAACGCAUAGACAUCGUUGCCGCUGAGACAUCGAUCAAUGGAGAGGUGCAUGUGGAGGCGGACGGGCGUACUUCGCAGCAGCGUCAGGCGUGGUCGUCGCCCUGCUUGGCCCCGGAGCGCAGCUACUACAAUGUCGUCUACAUACACGAGUUAGCACAUCCGCGCAAGUUGUGCGGCAGCGGCGGCAGUGGUGACGAUGCGAGCCUAGGGUCGGUGCGCGGGCAGGACAAAGGUCGCACUUGCGCGCCUCAGCGCCGGCCGACUUCACGUGUGCUGCGUCGCGGCGCCACCACCUCCAGCACAGCCGCCAACAAGGCAGGCGAGGCGCCGCUCACGAUCACCUCUUACGUGCAGGCAAUGUACGCCGUAAACAGAACCGACGCGGCGGUGCGCAAGCCGCCUGCCAACCCAGACAUGGAAGCGACACCUCUCACGACCGCUGCUCCUGCGCUGAUGAGCGGCGAUACGGCGCUGGUGCAGCUCGAGCUCUGCGUUCCCGCACAGCGUUCGGGCCGCAACGGCAGCCCGCGGCUCGAGGGGGCGCCGCUGAUGGCGACGGGGACAAAGCCCACUGACGUGAAGUUCUCUUCUUCCACUGCGGACCGCGUGUCCGACUCGAAAGCAGGCACGGCAGUGGCCUCGACUGUGUCCGCCGCCGCUCAGCACGACGAGGGCACCGAGACGCAGCGGCGCAGUGACAGAAAAGUUGCCGCUCCCAGCACUGUGGCGGAUGCGCAGAUCGUAGCGCGCAUCGAAUCGAUCGAGGACUGGCGACGGGAUCGCCACGCCGACGUCGAGGAACGCAUUCGCCGUCGGCGCCGAUCCUCUGUCGUGCCUGCCGGGUGGCAGGGCGAGUACUACUACUACGCGAAUCCUGGAGGUGCCGCGACAAGGGCGGAUGAGGUCGGCAUGCCGACGUCCUUCCCGGCAUCCUCGCCAGCGCACACCGACGCGACGGCCACGACGGGCUCGAGCGGAACAGCCGAUAUGGCGGCGACAAUAGAAAAGAAUGACGCGCACCGCGGCACCCCCCAUCAGCAGCAGACGCAAGGGCACCCGAGCCCUCGGCCUCUGUCACGGCCUUGCGCCGUGACAAGUCCCUCCUUGAGAGGCAAGACGACCACGUGCACGGUGUUGCUAAGGACACGCCCACAGCUGUCGAAGCCGCUCAGCUCAUGGAGCGAGCGCAAGACCGGUGCCGUGACGGAUGUCUUGUGGAAGUCCAACAGCAGUGGCGCGCAGGCGCACCAACCAGCUCAGCCGUUGCAUAGGACCACCGCUCGGGGUGCGAUGAUGGCGACGCCGACCUCGGCGGCAGCCGCUGCCGCGACGUCGACUCUCUCUUCCAAAGCUGCGCUUUACCCGCCGCUGGAGGUGGUGGUGACGAACACGUACAACUCGAUUGAGUGGGCCUUCGGCGGCGCGGCCCGACGCGCGUGCACUGCGGCGCCCGACUCGGCACACGGCGAAUCGCCGCUUGCGUCGGCAUCGUUGCUGUGGGCCGCACACCAGAAGCGCGAGCAGGAUAAUGAAGAGCAGCGUCGCUGGAAUGCUCGCACGCGGCAGCCGUACGGCGUGGACAUUCACGCCCCGAUCGAUCUUCGAAUCUCGUAGCGCCCUCGCAAGGUUCGCAUCGCCGGGGGUGGAGGAGGAGGGAUAUGCCGCGCAAGGUGGUGUGCGCGUGUGAAAACCGCCGUGCCGCUAUUUCUCGUUUUCGUGUUUUUGUGGUUGAGGACUGGUCCGUCGCUGUCGAUGUGUUUCGCGGGCUCGUUCUCGCUGCUGCUGUUGUGCUUUGCUGUUUGGCUUGCGGAUGUGGUGGCGGUCGUCGUCUGGGUGCCGCCUACGCGCCGAGUUUGCCAUUUCAGAGCCUGGCCUAGCCCGACUGUGGAGCGCCACUGGGCAUUCUAAUCUUCGACGGUUGUGGUUGCGUUGGCGCACGUACUCGUCGACCCACCGGUGCCGUCGCUUGGCGAUGUGAAGGUAGUGGUGCUGGUGGUGGUGUAGUCGGUGGAGCAGACACAUGUCAGGAUGCGCUUGCAUUGUGGCACGUAUCUAGUGUGUGUGGACGCACAUGCUCAUAGGUAUGUGCCUCCGUUCGCCACUUCUCUUGCUCGCCUUCUCGUGGACUGACCCCGAGCAUAGGCAGAUGUGUCUCUAUUUCUUUACACUCGACAGUAAGGCGGAUGACGUGCGCGCGGCCGACUUCAUCAAGCGCCGCUGAUCCUGGGCAGGUGGGGGAGAGAGAAAGGGACACCAAACCGUUCACGCCCGUGCAUGGGGUGCUGGCGUGACACUGUGAACAUGUCCGUGAGCACACGUCCUCAUUGCUUUAUUGCCGGAGGUGCUCCCCCCUUCCACCCACCCCGCUCUCGACGCGCCAUCCAUCCCUCUAGCCCACCACUCCGUCCACACAUGACGCAGUUUUUGCAUGUUCUUUGGUUGCCUGCUUUUGGCUUCGGCGUUGUUCGUCCUUUCCGGAAUCGAAAACGUGCGGUGCCGUGCAUGUGUGUGCAUGUGUCUUUCCCAUCCAGCUCUUUGCCGUGGUGGCGGCGGCUGUCCGCGUCGUUGCUGCCUCCGCCACCGUUUAUCAGGGUGCUUCUUCUCUUGCGUUUCCCUUCUCUUCUUUCAGCAUUACCGUCCUCUUCAUCGAUCUUCCCUCGCACUUCCUUCUUUGGUGCCCUCGACAGCUCUCUGUUGAUGCCUGCGUGUGCCUGGCACCUUCGCGUUGCGCAAGGGCCGUGACCGUCACGCGGCCUUAGUCGCCCGGCUCUCCCGCCCUCAGCGUGCGUCUUCUGUAGCGCUCUGUGUGUGUGCGUGUCUCUCUCUCCUAUGCGUCGUGCCGCUUGCUUCCGGACUUCCUGUCGGUCGUGGUGCGCAUGGCGGUUCUCGGAGGAGAGAGAGGAGGGAUGCUUGCACCCACACCCCCGACACGAUUCGCGUUGGCGUCAUACCUACAUUGCUUGCAUCUCGAGCCUACUCGCCAGCUUCCCUCAUCUCUUCUCCAGCGUUGCGGCCUUUGCCCUCUCUUUCUUUCUUGUGGCUGGAACGCCCGAUCAGCGUGCCGUGUGUGUGUGUGUGUAUGUGUGUGUGCAAGCUAAGGCACCGAGAGGGCCAUACGUAGGCCCCACAGCAGACGGUGGCAUAUGAACGCACGUGGCGGUGUUGGAGUAAGGGAGGGAGACGUGCAGCUGUUGACGCACGUGCGCGCGCGGGUAGGCGGCGGAGCGAGGGGGGCCUCUCUUGAGAACAUGCUUGCAUACGCCUAUCGGGUCUAAACAGAUACCCACGAGUGCUAUCCAUCCCUUCGCCCACGCCCCCCUCCUCCCCUCAGAGCCAGCCACUCCUCCGUGUGCCACGCGCGACCGCCAUCACUGACGCCAUCCGCAUCUUUGCUGACCCCGGCUGUUUGCUUGCCUCGCUUGUUGCUCUUGUUGCUCCUCUUCCUCUCCAGUGGCUGUAUUGUCGGGACCAAGCACGCCCACACGCGCACACGCGUUGCCGAUCAUGUACCUCAGCGUGCGCGUCUGCCUGUACGAGUUGUAGCUGCCGCAUAUCUCUUUUUUUCGGAGGUGUGUGUGUGUGUGUGGUGUUUGUGUGUGGCUCGCGUCGCGCCGUUACACUCCUCUUCGAACGUGAGGCUGCUGCAAACAUGAGCACGCCGUACGUGAGAGGAAGGUCGGGUGGCGUGGAGGGAAGAUGGUGAUGGCCGCUGUGACAAGCCUUCUGCGACUCCUUUUUAUCGCCACCGCUCUCCUUGCGAGGCCCGACCGCACCCGCCUCCUUAUCUACGUCGCUUGCCUACUCAAGGGGGAGGGGUUCCAAACACCUGAAAGGAGGAACACGGCCGCCAAUCAAGGAGUCACAAGAACAGGCGCACAUCCACAGAGAGAGAUACGUGGGAGCCGUAGACCUGCAAUGCACAUGUUCGGCAUUGCCCCCCUCCCCCCGCUCUUCCCACACGGCCGACGAUGCCGCACACUGUCGGGGUCUCCACGACGUGUGUUGGGGCUGUGUUUUGGACCGCUGCACCAACCUGUCUGCCUUUCCCCUUCCAUACCUCUCGCUACACGCAGAGCGGGGUGAGCAUACCACCGCCAUGCGCACUGGAGUGUGCACGUUGUAGCUGUGCGCAGUGAAACCUGCUCAGCUGCUCUGCUUCGAUGCGCGCACGCACGCUUGCUUCUCCUUUCAUGCUGUUGUGCUGCCCCUCUCCUUCUCCAUCGCUUGCUCUCUGCCCUCAUGCCCUAACCCCCCCCCUCUCCACACUCAG
rnacentral:misc_RNA from 1 species